AUUGAACUCUGGCGGCAGGCCUAACACAUGCAAGUCGAGCGGGGUUUUCGGACCUAGCGGCGGACGGGUGAGUAAUGCGUAGGAAGCUGCCCGAUAGAGGGGGAUACCAGUUGGAAACGACUGUUAAUACCGCAUAAUGUCUACGGACCAAAGUGUGGGACCUUCGGGCCACAUGCUAUCGGAUGCGCCUACGUGGGAUUAGCUAGUUGUUGAGGUAAUGGCUCACCAAGGCGACGAUCUCUAGCUGGUUUGAGAGGAUGAUCAGCCACACUGGAACUGAGACACGGUCCAGACUGCUACGGGAGGCAGCAGUGGGGAAUAUUGGACAAUGGGCGCAAGCCUGAUCCAGCCAUGCCGCGUGUGUGAAGAAGGCCUUCGGGUUGUAAAGCACUUUCAGCGAGGAGGAAGGGGUGUGUGUUAAUAGUACACACCUUUGACGUUACUCGCAGAAGAAGCACCGGCUAACUCUGUGCCAGCCGCCGCCGUAAUAC
rnacentral:rRNA from 1 species